GUGUAGUAAACCUCUUUUAUCAAGGCAAGAAGAUCUGACGGUACUUGAUGAAUAAGCCACGGCUAAUUCCGUGCCAGCAGCCGCGGUAAUACGGGAGUGGCAAGCGUUAUCCGGAAUUAUUGGGCGUAAAGCGUCCGCAGGCGGUCUUGUAAGUCUGUCGUUAAAGCGUGGAGCUUAACUCCAUUUGAGCGAUGGAAACUGCAAGACUAGAGUGUGGUAGGGGCAGAGGGAAUUCCCGGUGUAGCGGUGAAAUGCGUAGAUAUCGGGAAGAACACCAGUGGCGAAGGCGCUCUGCUGGGCCAUAACUGACGCUCAUGGACGAAAGCCAGUGGGAGCGAAAGGGAUUAGAUACCCCUGUAGUCCUGGCCGUAAACGAUGAACACUAGGUGUCGGGGGAAUCGACCCCCUCGGUGUCGUAGCCAACGCGUUAAGUGUUCCGCCUGGGGAGUACGCACGCAAGUGUGAAACUCAAAGGAAUUGACGGGGGCCCGCACAACCGGUGGAGUAUGUGGUUCAAUUCGAUGCCACGCGAAGAACCUUA
rnacentral:rRNA from 1 species